rnacentral:rRNA from 1 species
GACGAACGCUGGCGGCGUGCUUAACACAUGCAAGUCGAGCGGUAAGGCCCCUUCGGGGGUACACGAGCGGCGAACGGGUGAGUAACACGUGAGCAACCUACCCUCAACUUUGGGAUAAGCCUCGGAAACGGGGUCUAAUACCGAAUAUCACUCCUUGUUUCAUGGCGGGGGGUUGAAAGUUCUGGCGGUUGGGGAUGGGCUCGGGGCCUAUCAGCUUGUUGGUGGGGUAAUAGCCUACCAAGGCGUCGACGGGUAGCCGGCCUGAGAGGGCGACCGGCCACACUGGGACUGAGACACGGCCCAGACUCCUACGGGAGGCAGCAGUGGGGAAUGUUGCGCAAUGGACGAAAGUCUGACGCAGCAACGCCGCGUGAGGGAUGACGGCCUUCGGGUUGUAAACCUCUUUCAGCAGGGACGAAGCGAGAGUGACGGUACCUGCAGAAGAAGGACCGGCCAACUACGUGCCAGCCGCCGCAGUAAAAC